CCUACGGGCGGCAGCAGUGAGGAAUAUUGGUCAAUGGACGAGAGUCUGAACCAGCCAAGUAGCGUGAAGGAUGACUGCCCUAUGGGUUGUAAACUUCUUUUAUAUGGGAAUAAAAUGUUCCACGUGUGGGAUUUUGUAUGUACCAUAUGAAUAAGGAUCGGCUAACUCCGUGCCAGCAGCCGCGGUAAUACGGAGGAUCCGAGCGUUAUCCGGAUUGAUUGGGUUUAAGGGGCGCGUAGGUGGAUUGUUAAGUCAGUUGUGAAAGUUUGCGGCUCAACCGUAAAAUUGCAGUUGAAACUGGCAGUCUUGAGUACAGUAGAGGUUGGCGGAAUUCGUGGUGUAGCGGUGAAAUGCUUAGAUAUCACGAAGAACUCCGAUUGCGAAGGCAGCUCACUGGACUGCAACUGACACUGAGGCUCGAAAGUGUGGGUAUCAAACAGGAUUAGAUACCCCUGUAGUC
rnacentral:rRNA from 1 species